CAAUAGCGUAUAUUAAGGUUGUUGCAGUUAAAAAGCUCGUAGUUGAAACUUGGGCCUGGCUGGCGGGUCCGCCUCACCGCGUGCACUCGUCCGGCCGGGCCUUCCUUCUGAAGAACCUCAUGCCCUUCACUGGGCGUGCUGGGGAAUCAGGACUUUUACUUUGAAAAAAUUAGAGUGUUCAAAGCAGGCCUUUGCUCGAAUACGUUAGCAUGGAAUAAUAAAAUAGGGCGUGCGUUUCUAUUUUGUUGGUUUCUAGAGACGCCGCAAUGAUUAACAGGAACAGUCGGGGGCAUCAGUAUUCAGUUGUCAGAGGUGAAAUUCUUGGAUUUACUGAAGACUAACUACUGCGAAAGCAUUUGCCAAGGAUGUUUNCAUUAA
rnacentral:rRNA from 1 species